AUUAACGCUAGCGGCAGGCAUAAUACAUGCAAGUUGAACGGCAGCACAGGUAGCAAUACUGGGUGGCGCGUGGCGCACGGGUGCGUAACACGUAUGCAACCUACCCUAUACAGGCGAAUAACCUUUAGAAAUGAGGGCUAAUACGCCGUAGUAUUACAGAUGGGCAUCUAUUUGUAAUUAAAGAUUUAUCGGUAUAGGAUGGGCAUGCGUCCCAUUAGUUAGUUGGUAAGGUAACGGCUUACCAAGACGAUGAUGGGUAGGGGAUCUGAGAGGACUUACCCCCACACUGGUACUGAGACACGGACCAGACUCCUACGGGAGGCAGCAGUAAGGAAUAUUGGGCAAUGGCCGCGAGGCUGACCCAGCCAUGCCGCGUGCAGGAAGACGGCCUUAUGGGUUGUAAACUGCUUUUAUACGGGAAUAAUAGAGUGUACGCGUACAUUUAUGCAAGUAUCGUAUGAAUAAGCAUCGGCUAACUCCGUG
rnacentral:rRNA from 1 species